CCUGCAGGUCCCCAGACUCCACCUAGAAACAAGAAGUAGUUCCACUUCGCCUUGCAGCCUGCAGAGCUGAGGGAGAGACGCUCCAGCUGCAGGUGUAGCCCUCAAGAGGACAUGGCCUUUGGGCAUCUCAUCCCUCAGCUGAGACUGGAGGAGCCAGCGGAGGACAGGGUGUUCAGGAGCAUCGCCUUCCGUCCUUUCCAACAUGGACACCACCAACGUGGGAAGUCAACUUCUCCUUGCAGUGAUAGAAAGCGACACGACGUCCUACAUGAAUGCUGCAACAGUGGAUCCAGUAUGUGUAUAAGGAUUCUAAUGAGGACUCAGUCAAAACUGUGACAGGGAAAUGAGGCAGAUCCAAGCCUUGGUCGCGGAAUUGAUCUUUUCUUUUAUCCCUGCGAAAUCUUAUGCAGCAGCUCCCUCUGAUAAUCCACGAACACAGCUAAGAUCAAAGCCACAGCGUAGAGCAUUUUAAAUCUGGGUUUAAGAAAUAGGCUCCCCUGUCCUGGUCUAUUUUGGCAAGCAAAACUAUUAAAUGGGUGAUUGUUGACAAUAGAGACACGAAACGCUGUUGAAUUGCCUACAUUCUCAUUAAAAUGUUUUACUUGAAUGCAAA